ACGAACGCUGGCGGCGUGCUUAACACAUGCAAGUCGAACGGUGAAGCGCCUUCCUUUUUGGUGGGUGUGGAUGAGUGGCGAACGGGUGAGUAACACGUGAGUAACCUGCCCCCUUCUUCUGGAUAACCGCAUGAAAGUGUGGCUAAUACGGGAUAUUCUGGGUCUGUCGCAUGAUGGGUCUGGGAAAGAUAUUGUUUCGGUGGGGGAUGGGCUCGCGGCCUAUCAGCUUGUUGGUGGGGUGAUGGCCUACCAAGGCGGUGACGGGUAGCCGGCCUGAGAGGGUGGACGGUCACACUGGGACUGAGACACGGCCCAGACUCCUACGGGAGGCAGCAGCGGGGAAUAUUGCACAAUGGGCGCAAGCCUGAUGCAGCGACGCCGCGUGAGGGAUGGAGGCCUUCGGGUUGUGAACCUCUUUCGCCAGUGAAGCAGGCCUGCCUCGUUUGUGGGUGGGUUGACGGUAGCUGGAUAAGAAGCGCCGGCUAACUACGUG
rnacentral:rRNA from 1 species